UCCUCAGAAAAAUAAGUCCUUAUAGAAAUAUAUAUUAGUAAUCAUGGGUUAAUACAUAAAGCAGACCAUAGCAAAUGGCCUACAGCUUCAUAAUUAAUAUAGUGUCUUGUGUGUUAUUUGGGGCAGAGAUAGCAGUGGGACCCGGGCAGCUGGUGGGAAAGAAGGCUUUUAGAUUCCCAUAAGUAUACAAUGAGUCUAUGGGCUUAGAAGAAAGGGAAGGAUAAGUACUCUCAGGCAAUCCUCCAUGGAAAGGACUGAUAGUUUGAUUGCCUAACAGAGUCUAUCUUCUAAAAGGCUUCAUGGUGAAGAUCCCAGAGAAAUAAUAAGAGUGGAUGCUGAGGUUUGGAGAAAUUUACGAUCCUUGCUAUCUCUCAAUCUCAUGCAUGAUGUAUCUUUAUGUAAAACGUUCAAUCUACCAAGCAGCAUGCAUGAUACACAUGAAAUAUACCGAAGCUGUUAUGGGUAUAAUUUGAAACAUGAGUGGUAGUAAUCUCUGAAUAGAGAAAAUAAAUAGCUUUUGCGAAAUUUUCCUUGAAGCUUUCCUUUGUCCUCUUUAAUACUUUUCUAAGAUAUUAGAAACAACCGCGUACCCAAGUGGAACAAGUUUGAAUUCUGUGAAUUUGUAGGUAAAAAUCAAAUAUUGAGCUCAAAUGUAUUAAGUUACUGUCUUGUCUAUGAAAAUAACACAUUUUGGUUUUCUGUUUGGACGCUUGUCCAGAUUAACAUUCACCUGGCCAUGAUUUUAACAGAAGAUCUGCAUCCUUGGAAACGUCCCCUUGUUUAGAAGCUGCCCAGCAGUGAACACUUGUUUACAGAGGUUGCUUGGUUCCUGCACACGAAGCUGCUCACUGAGCAAAGAUAAAGAUCUGUUUGCUUGGCUCAACUCUCAGUGCCGACGGUGCAGAGGCUGGGAGCCAGGACGGCAGGAGAAUCCAUGCAUCUCCCAGUUUCACACUUCGAUAAAGCCGAACGAAUCCUUUCCAGUCCGCUUUGGAGGGCCUUGGCCACAGGGCGCAGCACCACACACAAUGAGAGCAGAUCGGGCUGGCGCGUCAGGGUGACCCCGGCGAAAGGGUCAUUCCAACCCCCAAAGGGGUCGGGCUGCCGCACAUGUUGAGAACCACUGUGGCAAACACACUCAAAGAUCCCGCCCCAGCAUUCCCAAGGAAUUUCUGAAGCACCAACGGACUUGGAGAUGGCGUCAUUUGAGACACUUUGUGCCACAGCCCUGGAGACCUUCAAUUUAGUGAUGGCCUGUGAGGGAUCACCGUGACUUGAAUGCUUGGGUGAAAAACACUCUGUGUCACAGAAUUCUUCGGUGGCUUCCAAGAUGCCUAUUCCCUUGGCGCGAUGCCUCUGCUACUGAACAUGGGCUCGAUCCGGAGUGCGAUGUGCCACCAUGCAAACAGUGGUGUUGCCAAGCAGUUGCCUAAUCCUAGUGGGAAAUAACGUAAUCAUGAUGUCCUUGGAAGGACCCUGGAUCCGUCUUCAAAGAUCAUCAGAGCGUGAUGUGGACCUAAUGAGGGCCUCGUGGCAAGGGACUUACACUGUCCUAUAGUAAUUAGAAGGGGCCAGGAUGACAAGGAGAGGGGAUUCAGUCGAAUAGUUGCAAGUAACUGUGCACCUUGUCCCCCACUAUGUGGGCUCAGGCGAAGGAUCCAGACGUCAGGUGACACUGUGGCUCUGGCUGUUCCAUGCUACCCACCUGAGACUCAGCCAGACCCCACCAGACUUCUUACUCACAGAGACUGUGAGUCAAUACGUUUCUGCAUUUUAACCUGAUGAUUUUGUGAUAAACUGUUAAGGAAUAAUAGAAAACUAAAACACAUCUCAUAGUUUAUUUUUUAUGUUGACAAUGUCCACAAACAUAUGAUUUUUUCCUUAUGUUUUUAGCUCCUGUCUCGAGUUCACAUUAAAAUUCUAACCCAC